AUGGCGGUCAUGGGGUCCGGCACCUGGCGCAAGGCCUACGGCGCCCUCAAGGACUCCACCAAGGUUGGCCUCGCCAACUUCAACAGCGAGUACAAGGAUUUGGAUAUCGCCAUCGUGAAGGCGACGAACCACGUGGAGUGCCCGCCCAAGGAGCGGCAUUUCAGGAGGAUAAUGUUUGCGAACUCGGCAAAUCGCCCGCGGGCCGACGUCGCCUACUCCAUAUGUACAUUGGCCAGGAGAUUGUCCAAGACCAAGAACUGGAUAGUUGCGCUUAAAACACUGAUAGUGAUACAUAGGUUACUGAGAGAAGGCGACGGGUCAUUCAAAGAUGACUUCCUGAGCUAUUCGUACAGAGGAAACAUUUUGCAGCUUCCAAAUUUCAGGGAUGACUCGAGCCCAUUAGCAUGGGAUUCCUCUGCUUGGGUUCGCCUGUAUGCAUUCUACCUACAUGAACGCGUCGAAUGCUUUAGGGUUCUAAAAUACGACGUCGAAGCCGAUCGUCUGGUGAAAUUACCCCAGGCUUCUGGCAAGGCACACAGUAGAACAAGAACCCUUCCAUGUGAAGAUCUUUUAGAUCAGUUGCCUGCAUUGCAGAAGCUACUACUCCGGCUUAUUUCUUGCCAGCCUGAAGGUACAGCCUGCACAAAUCACCUUAUACAAUAUGCAUUAGCCCUUGUUCUGAAGGAGAGCUUCAAAAUAUACUGUUCGAUAAAUGACGGCAUCAUCAAUCUUGUUGAUAUGUAUUUUGAUAUGGCAAAAAUGGAUGCUAUCAAGGCCCUUGAAAUUUAUAAAAGAGCUGGCCAGCAGGCAGAAAAGCUUUCUGCGUAUUAUGACUACUGCAAAAAUCUUGAGCUUGCCAAGACAUUCCAGUUUCCUACUUUGAGGCAGCCACCUUCUUCAUUCCUUGCAACUAUGGAAGAGUACAUCAGAGAAGCACCCAGUGUCAGCAUCACGAGAAAGAGUGUGAGUUCACCUAGUGACCACGAAGAUGAAGCUCCACAGGAAACCGAGAAACCGGUUGAAGAGGAGAAAGAAGAGCCAGCAGAAGCUGCACCUGAAGAAGAGCCACCAUAUACCACUCUCUCGGAAGAAGAUGAACCCCCACCAUUGCGGCCAACCACUGGGGAUCUACUAGUAAUUCCGAACUUGGAUGAAGAAUUGCACCCCAUGAUUGCAAACCUUGAACAAAGCAACGCACUUGCUCUUGCCAUCGUGGAACCAGGGAGUGAGAACAAUGCCUCGGCCCCUCUAGACUUGUUUGCCAUUGACAAAGCUGGGUGGGAAUUGGCACUGGUCACUGCCCAGAGUAACCACACAAGCCAACCAGCUGUCAGCCAAGUGCAAGCCGGAGGGUUCGACAAGCUGCUGCUAGACAGCCUAUACGAAGACGACGCGAGGAGGCAGCAAAUCGCCAGUGUGACCUACACCAGCGGCGUCACGGUGAACCCAUUUGACCCCAAUGACCCGUUCGCCAUGUCCAACAGCUUCGCGCCGCCAUCAAACGUGCAGUUCGCCAUGAUGGGCCAGCAGCAGCAGCAGUACUACCAGGCACAGCAGCAUGGCUACUUCCAGAUGCAGCAGCAACAACAAGAUCAAAUGCUGGUGAUGCCGCCACAGACAUACCAGCAGCAGCAGCAGGCUCAGUACGCCGUGAAUGCCGGAUUAUCCAACCCGUUCGGCGAUCCAUUCAGUGCUCUCGUCACGACGGCGAAUCCGCCAAAGCAAAACAAUCAGAUUUAG
rnacentral:rRNA from 1 species